GCACCUUAGAGACCAACUAAGUUUGUUAUUGGUAUAAGCUUUCAUGUGUAUGAAGAAGUAUCUGAAGAAGUGUGCAUGCAUAUGAAAGCUUAUACCAAGAACAAACUUAGUUGGUCUCUAAGAUGC